CGAGCGGACAGAUGGGAGCUUGCUCCCUGAUGUUAGCGGCGGACGGGUGAGUAACACGUGGGUAACCUGCCUGUAAGACUGGGAUAACUCCGGGAAACCGGGGCUAAUACCGGAUGGUUGUUUGAACCGCAUGGUUCAGACAUAAAAGGUGGCUUCGGCUACCACUUACAGAUGGACCCGCGGCGCAUUAGCUAGUUGGUGAGGUAACGGCUCACCAAGGCGACGAUGCGUAGCCGACCUGAGAGGGUGAUCGGCCACACUGGGACUGAGACACGGCCCAGACUCCUACGGGAGGCAGCAGUAGGGAAUCUUCCGCAAUGGACGAAAGUCUGACGGAGCAACGCCGCGUGAGUGAUGAAGGUUUUCGGAUCGUAAAGCUCUGUUGUUAGGGAAGAACAAGUGCCGUUCAAAUAGGGCGGCACCUUGACGGUACCUAACCAGAAAGCCACGGCUAACUACGUGCCAGCAGCCGCGGUAAUACGUAGGUGGCAAGCGUUGUCCGGAAUUAUUGGGCGUAAAGGGCUCGCAGGCGGUUUCUUAAGUCUGAUGUGAAAGCCCCCGGCUCAACCGGGGAGGGUC
rnacentral:rRNA from 1 species